rnacentral:lncRNA from 1 species
GGAAGCUGGAGAGCACAGCCACAGGGCAGCUGGCCCCAAAAAGCCUGCGUGGGACGGGCCGGUGGGCACAUGCUGGAGGCCGCCCCGUUUCCGCCUGGGGACCAGCUGGCCGGUGGGGCCGCACUUUCCCUGGAUCCUCCGCCAAGAGGGCUGCCUGGCCGCUCCGCGGCACAGUCCAUUCCCUAACCCCUCCUCCCCGGCCCCUGCCCUGCCCUGCCCUGCCCGCGGCGGGCACUUUGUCCCGCGGCCCGGGUGGCUGCAGCUUAGGUUUCUCCCCGGAAGGAAAGCUUGAGGCGCACGGUUGCGGUCGGCCGGCUGCGGGAGACCAGGGGCCACACCUGCCGCGGAGGUUACAGUCGGUAAAGUAGAGCGGCGACACGAACUUCUCCACCCGCUCCAGCGUGGUGCGCCAGUGCUUCAAGGCCGGCGCAGCCGCCAUCGCCGGGCUCUCGCUCCUCUUUCCGGAAGGCCCCUGGCGCUACCGUUCCGCUCCACGGCAGGAAACCAAAGGUUCCGGCGUCCAGAGGGCGCCUCCCAGUCCCGGGCAGCUUUUCUUGGAACACGGGCGGCUCUCGGAAGCCCAGCUGCUGUCUGAAUUUUGAGCCGAGUUGGAAGCUAGAAACUGUUUUUGAGGCUCUCCUAUGUUGUCCGAAAUAGUGGGCCGCAGGGAAAAUCUCAAAAUAAAAUGGGAAAUUUGACGAUUAGAACUCUCGAAAGUCUCGAGACAGAGACUUAGGCCAUUCGGCAAGACAGGCGGGAGCCUCAGCUGCUGCAGACCCAGCCUCAGAAUCAGCAACCGGGAGACCUCUGGCUCUAGCUGUCGGUGAACACGGAAAGUGGUGUUUGCUUAACGUGGAGCCAGACUACCCGGAAUAGGUGUUUUCAUACCGGACGGAGAUCAGGGUGUUAGUGAGCAGGGAGGUAGAGCUUUACGCCCAAGUUACUACGACUUACUCGAUUACACGCUUUACUGAAUAUAUAUUGCUAACUCUUGCACAUCACCAGAAACUCUGGAGUUUGAGGUGGCAGAACAGUCAUGGCAUUGACGAUCCCAAUGGAAAAAUGUAUUUCACCAUACAGGACUGUAGAGUCCCGGGAAGCCAUAAUACCAGAAACAGACCUCCAGUUUCAUUCUCAUCCCUAGUACUCCACUGACAGCUUUAUUUUUUUCUCCUGGGGUUGCCAAGAGUCUUUGUCUAUAAAAUCAUUAGGAACAAAAAAAAAAAAAUACACAAGAUUAGCCCUGAUAUUUUAAUGGAAAUACUGACCAAGUUUACAACAUUUCAAAUGCAGAUCACACGGAAAGGUGACUAAGUACAGAAUAACAAAUGUGAUUUAAAAUAAAGAUAACCUGCUGCUGCAUAUAAUACAGGUUGGGUUUAGAGCUUGGAGCUCAGAUGUCAGACAGCAGGAGGAAUAAAAAUGCUACUUGUGAAAACCCAG